rnacentral:ncRNA from 1 species
UUAAAGUCUCGGAUCGGGAGGAGUAGGUAGUAUGGUCUUUUAGAGAGAGGAGCACCUAGGCUGAAAGUGCUCUAAAGAGCUGCUACUGAAUGUCGCCCGGGAGAUAGUAAUCUGAACUUGUAGUAAGAUUACUCGGUUUAAGCCGUUAUUUUAUUAAGUGUUCCAUGUAGUUAGCAUGGGAAAUUAAGGUGGUACCGCGGAAUUAGCCCUUCCGUCCUUUUA